rnacentral:RNase_P_RNA from 1 species
AAAGUUGGCCAGGCAAUCGCUGGACAUCCACAGGCAACUGCGGUGUCGGGAGGAAAGUCCGGGCUCCAUUGGGCGGGAUGCCAGUUAACGGCUGGGUGCUAUAAGUCGAAAGACCCAAGGCAACGGAAAGUGCAACAGAGAAUAGACCGCCGAUGGCGUCGCAAGACGCACAGGUAAGGGUGAAACGGCGAGGUAAGAGCUCACCGCACUGGCGGUAACGUUCAGUGGCUUGGUAAACCCCAUCCGGAGCAAGACCAAAUAGGGAAGCUGAGGCGUGGCCCGCGCUGCUUCCGGGUAGGUUGCUUGAGCCUGUCAGUGAUGGCAGGCCUAGAGGAAUGAUUGCCGAACCCUGCAAGGGGGGAACAGAACCCGGCUUAUCGGCCGACUUUCCAC